rnacentral:rRNA from 1 species
CCAGACUCCUACGGGAGGCAGCAGUGGGGAAUCUUCCACAAUGGGCGAAAGCCUGAUGGAGCAACGCCGCGUGAGUGAAGAAGGUCUUCGGAUCGUAAAGCUCUGUUGCACGGGACGAAAACCGAGCUUGAAAAUAUUGAGCUUGGGUGACGGUACCGAGCGAGGAAGCCACGGCUAACUACGUGCCAGCAGCCGCGGUAAUACGUAGGUGGCGAGCGUUGUCCGGAAUUAUUGGGCGUAAAGGGAGCGCAGGCGGACAUAUAAGUCCAUCUUAAAAGUGCGGGGCUCAACCCCGUGAGGGGAUGGAAACUGUAUGCCUUGAGUGCAGGAGAGGAAAGCGGAAUUCCCAGUGUAGCGGUGAAAUGCGUAGAUAUUGGGAGGAACACCAGUGGCGAAGGCGGCUUUCUGGACUGUAACUGACGCUGAGGCUCGAAAGCCAGGGGAGCGAACGGGAUUAGAUACCCCGGUAGUCCUGGCCGUAAACGAUGAAUGCUAGGUGUAGGAGGUAUCGACCCCUCCUGUGCCGGAGUUAACGCAAUAAGCAUUCCGCCUGGGGAGUACGGUCGCAAGACUGAAACUCAAAGGAAUUGACGGGGGCCCGCACAAG